UGUGCAGCGAGCUUGCAGAGAAUUCUGGAAAAUCAAGUGUCCGCCGCAAGGGUCAAUCUUACAACUGAGACAGCAAUUGUAUGGCCUGUUUCUGAAGCCAAGGCUAUGCCUAAUUGGCAAAAGGAGUUGGGGAUAAACACUUGCAAAUCACUCAGACAAAUUGUGGCUUAAGCCUAACCACAAGUAUCUGCCACCAGCGUCAAUCUGACAACCAGGAUAGCAGUUGUAUGGCCAGUAUCUGAAGCCAAGGAUGGCAAAAAGUGUUGGGAGAAACACUUGCAGCAAACUUGACAAAUUUUGCCUUCAUGUCUAACCCUCGACAUAAGUAGUUUUAUUCACCAUCUGCUUGUUGCAUCUGAACGAGGUUUGGCUGACAUUUGUGAAUAUCAUUGCCACAUAUAACGUACAUUUUAUCACAGAUUUUCUUUGUUGAUGACUCCAUCUAAAAGUUGGAAGUACAAUCUCUUACAUCUGUAAUUUUCCGUCAUAUAAUACAAACUAC